GAUGAACGCUGGCGGCGUGCCUAAUACAUGCAAGUCGAGCGAACAGACGAGGAGCUUGCUCCUCUGACGUUAGCGGCGGACGGGUGAGUAACACGUGGAUAACCUACCUAUAAGACUGGGAUAACUUCGGGAAACCGGAGCUAAUACCGGAUAACAUGUUGAACCGCAUGGUUCAACAGUGAAAGACGGUCUUGCUGUCACUUAUAGAUGGAUCCGCGCCGCAUUAGCUAGUUGGUAAGGUAACGGCUUACCAAGGCAACGAUGCGUAGCCGACCUGAGAGGGUGAUCGGCCACACUGGAACUGAGACACGGUCCAGACUCCUACGGGAGGCAGCAGUUGGGAAUCUUCCGCAAUGGGCGAAAGCCUGACGGAGCAACGCCGCGUGAGUGAAGAAGGUCUUCGGAUCGUAAAACUCUGUUAUUAGGGAAGAACAAAUGUGUAAGUAACUAUGCACGUCUUGACGGUACCUAAUCAGAAAGCCACGGCUAACUACGUG
rnacentral:rRNA from 1 species